UCAACAGUUCGAUCAACAGAGGUGUUCGUCCUUGGUGAUUAUCUCGCAUGGGAAGGAUUUCGCUUAUGAAAGUGUUUAAUGGCAUCCCAGGGGAAUUAAAAUGAGUUUUACAAAAGGGACAUCUACGUUGUCUGAGAAGGUUGGUUGGCCACGGAUUUGGACCAAACUAUUUUUGGCGAUUUACACGAUGUCACUUCAUGUGAAUAGGCCCUGAUUUCGCCAACCCUCCCCCCACAAAAAAAAAGCUGCAUAAAAUUCCCCACUAACCUCCAAUCCAAUCGACGCAAGGAGAUCCACGAAAAAGCACCAAAGAAAGUGCUCAGUUUUAUAACAAAUAGCGCACUUUACAAGGUUUGAUUUAAGAUUGCAAGCUCUCUACAAUACCUGAUUAAACUGACCCAAUCUUUUCCAUUCAGGUAAUCUGUACACACGAUUACUGGGAGGACUUGAAACCCUAGCCAUUUGUUCCUCAAGUCACAUAAACUUGGACAGGAGGAAACGGACGGGAGUCCGCCCUUGGAGGACCAAGAACGAUACUAACUAAAACAUGGACGAAAAUCGCCGGUCAGCCAGUUCCCGC